AUUCCAGCUCCAAGAGCGUAUAUUAAAGUUGUUGCAGUUAAAAAGCUCGUAGUUGGAUUUCUGUCAUAAUGCGCUUGGUCCGUCGCCGCAAGGUUGAUGAGUACCGAUGUGCGUUUGACAUCCUUCUAGAAAACGUUUCUACCAUUUAUUUGGCCGGACUCGGGAUCUAGAUCUUUUACUUUGAAAAAAUUUGAGUGUUUAAAGCAGGCUUUUUGCUAUGAAAACAUUAGCAUGGAAUAAUAAUCUAGGACUUCGGUUCUAUUUUGUUGGUUUCUAGUACUGAAGUAAUGAUUGAUAGGGACAGUUGGGGGUGCUAGUAUUGGCCGGCCAGAGGUGAAAUUCUUGGAUUCGGUCAAGACUAACUUAUGCGAAAGCAUUCACCAAGGAUGUCUUCAUCG
rnacentral:rRNA from 1 species